CAUUGCCUCAGUAACGGCGAGUGAAGCGGCAAAAGCUCAAAUUUGAAAUCUAGCACUUUCAGUGUUCGAGUUGUAAUUUGAAGAAGGUAACUUUGGUUUUGGCUCUUGUCUAUGUUCCUUGGAACAGGACGUCACAGAGGGUGAGAAUCCCGUGCGAUGAGAUGCCCAAUUCCAUGUAAAGUGCUUUCGAAGAGUCGAGUUGUUUGGGAAUGCAGCUCUAAGUGGGUGGUAAAUUCCAUCUAAAGCUAAAUAUUGGCGAGAGACCGAUAGCGAACAAGUACAGUGAUGGAAAGAUGAAAAGAACUUUGAAAAGAGAGUGAAAAAGUACGUGAAAUUGUUGAAAGGGAAGGGCUUGAGAUCAGACUUGGUAUUUUGCGUUCCCUUCCUUUUUGGUUGGGUUCCUCGCAGUUUACUGGGCCAGCAUCGGUUUGGAUGGUAGGAUAAUGACAUUGGAAUGUAGCUUUACUUCGGUGAAGUGUUAUAGACUUUGUUGAUACUGCCUAUCUAGACCGAGGACUGCGUCUUUGACUAGGAUGCUGGCGUAAUGAUCUUAAGCAGCCCGUCUU
rnacentral:rRNA from 1 species